rnacentral:rRNA from 1 species
AUUGAACGCUGGCGGCGUGCUUAACACAUGCAAGUCGAUCGGUAACAGGUGUAGCAAUACAUGCUGACGAGAGGCGGACGGGUGAGGAACGCUUGGGAAUCUGCCUAUCAGCGGGGGACAACCCGGGGAAACCCGGGCUAAUACCGCAUACGCUCUACGGAGGAAAGCCGGGGACCGCAAGGCCUGGCACUGAUAGAUGAGCCCAAGUCGGAUUAGCUAGUUGGCGGGGUAACGGCCCACCAAGGCGACGAUCCGUAGCUGGUCUGAGAGGACGAUCAGCCACAGCGGAACUGAGACACGGUCCGGACCCCUACGGGAGGCAGCAGUGGGGAAUAUUGGACAAUGGGCGAAAGCCUGAUCCAGCGACGCCGCGUGGGUGAAGAAGGCCUGCGGGUUGUAAAGCCCUUUCGGUAGGGACGAAAGCUCUCGACCUAACACGUCGGGAGGUUGACUUAACCUACAAAAGAAGCACCGGCUAACUCUGUGCCAGCAGCCGCAGUAAAAC